UGGGGAAUAUUGCACAAUGGGCGAAAGCCUGAUGCAGCAACGCCGCGUGAGUGAUGAAGGCCUUCGGGUUGUAAAGCUCUGUCUUUUGGGACGAUAAUGACGGUACCAAAGGAGGAAGCCACGGCUAACUACGUGCCAGCAGCCGCGGUAAUACGUAGGUGGCAAGCGUUGUCCGGAUUUACUGGGCGUAAAGGAUGCGUAGGCGGAUUUUUAAGUGAGAUGUGAAAACCCUAAGCUUAACUUGGGGACUGCAUUUCAUACUGGAAAUCUAGAGUGCGGGAGAGGAGAAUGGAAUUCCUAGUGUAGCGGUGAAAUGCGUAGAGAUUAGGAAGAACACCAGUGGCGAAGGCGAUUCUCUGGACCGUAACUGACGCUGAGGCAUGAAAGCGUGGGUAGCAAAACAGGAUUAGAUACCCUGGUAGUCCACGCCGUAAACGAUGAGUACUAGGUGUAGGAGGUAUCGACCCCUUCUGUGCCGCAGUUAACACAAUAAGUACUCCGCCUGGGAAGUACGAUCGCAAGAUUAAAAACUUAAAGGAAUUGACGGGGUCAUAGCUGUUUCCU
rnacentral:rRNA from 1 species